rnacentral:tRNA from 1 species
CUCCUGGUAGUCCAGUAGUUAGAGCUCUGUGCUUCUACUGCAGGGGACAUGGGUUCAAUCCCUGUUCAGGGAA